GUUCGUCGACGGAUUGGCCCUUUUCGUCGACGCGUGCGAGCGGGGUUGUCCUUAGGGGCGACCCCGCCUUGCUUU
rnacentral:sRNA from 1 species